rnacentral:lncRNA from 1 species
AACCAAUUACAAAAGUCAGGUUCAAAAUUUCCGAUGCUGUAAGGUCUAAAUAGUCUCCAUCUGUUAUCUUUUCCUGACUGCAACAGAACAAAUAGCUGCUGGAGGUUAUCAAGUGUAAAUUCCUUACCUUUACUAAAUUGCCACAAGCUUGGAGAUUUUAGUGACUUUGGUCAAUAAGCUGUCUUCUCUUGAAUUGCCCUGCAGUAUUUCUGGUGUCAGUCUGAGGAAUUCUUUUAAGAUUUCUAGGUUACAACAUUCUAACAAGACUUUUUCCUCUUUUUUUAAGUCUCUGACAGGUGCCAAGGGUUCUUAAUUAGUUGAAGUCCCUGGAAAGGAUUACAGCACAAUGAAACAAGUUGAUGGAUGUAUUUAGCUGUCUUUUUGGUUAUUCUGAUUCUCCUUUGGUCUCGUACUAUAACUGUGUGCACAAGUGGCGCCCGAACGUGGGACCUGAGAAUUAGAGAAGCAGUGAGGAACCUGGAUUCACGGAGUCACGACUAUAGAGGUAUACAAUUUGUGCUUUUUGUGACCAUGUGUUGUUUGAAGAGGAGGAGGAAGGGCCAACAAGUUAAAAAGGAAAAUGGCUCUCAUAUUCAAACAUCAAUUCUUUACAUAGCUUUCUCCUGUGAGUAAGAAAAGGGCCUUCACACCUGUUUUAUAACAUUCAUUUCUCUUUGCUCUGCAGAGUUCUAUUCUCACUCAUUUUCCCCUUCCAUCCUCUCUUAAAAUGAGAGAGUGAAGAUGUUCCUCCAGAGGAGGUAGAAAAUCAACCAGCUCACAUUCUAGACGAUGGUUCAACAUUAACAAACAUCAUUCAAUUUUCACUUAUGCAAUACUUUUAAAAAUGACCAUAAUAAGAAAAUAUGAUACUUCCCAGAAAAAAAGCAUAAUAGAAAACCAUC